rnacentral:rRNA from 1 species
ACUGAACGCUGGCGGCAGGCUUAACACAAGCAAGUAGAGCGAGCGGCGGACGGGUGAGCAAGGCCGGGGAAAUAGCACGCGGGACGGGGAUAACUACUGGAAACGGUAGCUAAUACAGGAUACCAUCAGAUGUGCCCAGAUGGGAUUAGCAAGUAGGUGGGGUAAUGGCUCACCUAGGCGACGAUCCCUAGCUGUGCUGAGAGGAUGACCACCCAAACUGGACCUGAGACUCGGUCCAGAGGCCUCCGGUAGGCAACAGUGUGGAAUAUGGCGCAUUGGGCGCAGGCCUGGUACAGCCGUGGCGCGUGUGUGAAGAAGGCCUUCGGGUUGUGAGCCAGUUUCAGCGUGGAGGCGUUACUCGGAGAAGACUCCCCGGGUAACUCCGUGCCAGCAGCCGCGGUAAUAC